AGCCUAAAGAAUUAUAUUAGGUGAGACCUGCCCAGUGCAAAUAAGUUAACGGCCGCAGUACCCUGACUGUGCUAAGGUAGCAUAAUCAGUUGGCUUUUAAAUGGAGUCGGGAAUGAAUGGAUUCAUGGGGUUAAGCUGUCUCUUAUAUAUUUAUUUGAAUUUAUUUAUUAGGUGAAAAUACCUAAAUUAAGAAAAAAGACGAGAAGACCCUAGGAGUUUGCACUAAAUCUAAUAAGUAGAUACGUUUUUGUUGGGGCGACAAAAGAAGAUAAAAACUUCUUUUUAUUAUUAUUUGCCGACUUAGUAUGAAAAUUUAAACUACCCUAGGGAUAACAGCGUAAUCCUUUAUAGGGUUUGCGACCUCGAUGUUGGAUUAGGAAUUUAGUUGGCUAGCCGCCUUCUUAUAUUGUUCUGUUCGAACUAAUUUUCC
rnacentral:rRNA from 1 species